rnacentral:rRNA from 1 species
AUUGAACGCUGGCGGCAUGCUUUACACAUGCAAGUCGAACGGUAACAGGCCGCAAGGUGCUGACGAGUGGCGAACGGGUGAGUAAUGCAUCGGAACGUGCCCAGUCGUGGGGGAUAACUACUCGAAAGAGUAGCUAAUACCGCAUACGAUCUAUGGAUGAAAGCGGGGGACCGUAAGGCCUCGCGCGAUUGGAGCGGCCGAUGUCAGAUUAGGUAGUUGGUGGGGUAAAGGCUCACCAAGCCAACGGUCUGUAGCUGGUCUGAGAGGACGACCAGCCACACUGGGACUGAGACACGGCCCAGACUCCUACGGGAGGCAGCAGUGGGGAAUUUUGGACAAUGGGCGCAAGCCUGAUCCAGCAAUGCCGCGUGCAGGAAGAAGGCCUUCGGGUUGUAAACUGCUUUUGUACGGAACGAAACGGCUCUGGUUAAUACCCGGGGCUAAUGACGGUACCGUAAGAAUAAGCACCGGCUAACUACGUG